rnacentral:tRNA from 1 species
GUCCCGUAGGGCUCAGUUGGUAGAGCAUGGUGUUUGCAACGCCAGGGUUGUGGGUUCGAUUGCCACGGGGGACC